AAACUUUGAAAAGAGAAAAGAGACCUCCUGCCAGUUUAUUACGGGUUAUAAACCUAUCCUCAGAUAUCAGCAACAACUACGAAAAGAAAUAACCCUUUACU